rnacentral:rRNA from 1 species
UAGUCCACGCUGUAAACGAUGAAUACUAGGUGUAGGGGGUAUCGACCCCCUCUGUGCCGCAGCUAACGCAAUAAGUAUUCCACCUGGGGAGUACGGUCGCAAGACUGAAACUCAAAGGAAUUGACGGGGACCCGCACAAGCAGUGGAGUAUGUGGUUUAAUUCGACGCAACGCGAAGAACCUUACCAGGUCUUGACAUCCCUUGAAAACUCUAGAGAUAGAGCUUCUCUUCGGAGCAAGGUGACAGGUGGUGCAUGGUUGUCGUCAGCUCGUGUCGUGAGAUGUUGGGUUAAGUCCCGCAACGAGCGCAACCCUUGUCGUCAGUUGCCGAUCAUUAAGUUGGGCACUCUGGCGAGACUGCCGGUGACAAAUCGGAGGAAGGUGGGGAUGACGUCAAAUCAUCAUGCCCCUUAUGUCCUGGGCUACACACGUACUACAAUGGCUACUACAAUGGGAAGCAAUACCGCGAGGUGGAGCAAAUCCCCAAAAGUAGUCUCAGUUCGGA